UGACGGUGCCCUGGAAUGGAUGCCCCAGC
rnacentral:piRNA from 1 species